ACGCACGCACACACACACACACACACACACACACAUCCACACAUCCAAUAAUGGCUCAGGGAGUGUGUGUGUGUGUGUGUGUUGGGUGGGGGAGGAUGGGGGAGGUACAUAGAGAGGUUCCAUUGUUUCAGCCUGGAAGGCAGAAGUGUUGGGAGGAGGGUGAGGAGGGAAAGUCAAGGAAAAGCUAAAUUUAGCCUCACCUCCGCUCAAGUAUUCCAAAUAUUCUUGCUUAUAUUUGGACGCUCACGUAGGCAGCGAUGGUGACUUCAUCCAAGAAUUACAUCACUGUGAAGACGGAUAAUCGCCCGCUGAACUUACUAUUCAUCUUCUGAUAAGUUCUUGUCCAUCUAAUGUUUAUAUCCUUCAUCAUCAAAUAAUGUCCAGUGUGUUAUGCCUGCUUCUAGACGAUGAUUAUGAAUCAACACUGCAAUUUAGUCUGAUACAUGGAGACAUGAACGACGCUGACACCUGUUGAAUCGGAGGCUACGAUGCGAAUGAAAUUGGAAACACAGCGUUAGAUGGUCGUCCUAAAUUUCUGACACCGUCCGAAUGUUUUCCCAGGCUGUCUGUGGCUGCAAGACCAUGACAGUGGUUGUUGAGGAGCCACAAUUUGUGGUUAAGUCCAUGGACACAAUAGUAUUUACAGUAGACUACGAACCCCAACCAUCUGACUGGAAGGCAACCCCCUCUAACACUUAACCACAAUGCAACCAAUAAGUUGGUUGUCAUUAUUUUGUUUUCUUCCACUUAUCGGGGUCCGGGUCAUGAGGACACCAUGGUCCAGACAGCAAGGCAUUCCCAGGCCAGCCAGGAGACGUCAUCUGUCCAGCGUGUCCUAAGUCUGGACAUCUCAAACCAAACAUCUCUCCUUCAGUCUGCAGUCACCAUUAGCUACUGGAUCUUUAUGUGUUAUGUUUUGUUGAUUGUAACUAAAGAUUAUGAUAAAAACAGACACAACUUCCUGACGACGUCGACCCAAAUCUGUGAGAAGAUGUCGACGGUGAACAUGGAGUUAAAUCUUCAUGCACAUGUCUUGGGUCAUUUCCUGCUGCUAUACAGACCUGACCUGCUGCUGCUGCUGAGGACCCGGCCACACACAUACACACACACACACACAAACACACACGUCCACACUGACCUACACUUCCUGUCAGACAGCGACACCCCCUCAGAGAGAAAGCAUCUGUCUCCACUACGUCCCCUGCAGAUUCCUCUCGUCCUUCUCCGUCCACCUCAUUGUUCUUUUCACACUUGGACAUGACCACGAGGGACCAAGGCUGGAAUGACGACAGACUCCUGAACAGGGAUGAAGGACGUUUGCACAGCUGUGAAUCUUAUUUGACCGUUUCUGUCGCCUCCUCCACGCUCCUCUAUCCAUCCCGGUGAUGUAGUAUUAUGUUUAUUUUUGUAUGUACACGAUGUCUGAUGGCUUUGAAUGUGCGUGUUUGUCUGCAUGUGCAUCUGGUUUACACAUCAGCGCUCCAGCGUCAGGACCUUGACCUGGUGAAACUACGUGUGUGUGUGUGUGUGUUUAACAUGUUUCAUUGUUAUAUUUGCAGCAGUCUGAUGUCACUCGAGGUGAAGUUGUUCAGGUCGUAAGAGUGAAAAGGUCAGAGUGAGAGUGGAGACGCUGCUGCAGCCUGAGGACCAGUCCACACAUAGUAGGUGACAGUUCUGAGGAAGGCAGAAGAUACAUGACGAAUCUUGUUAACAAGUUUCCUGGUGCUAUUGCUCUGUUUCGUCCGUCAUCAUGGACGGACUGGGACAUGGAUACCCUUCUCCUGGACUCUCCUGACUCCCACCCACACGUUAACAUGUGUUUCACAUUCAGAGCGGAGGGAGAUGUUGCAGAGCGACGGCCAAGCGCUCCGCGUGACUGGCAGCUCCGCGCUCUCACACUCACACUCGCUCUGUCUCAUGAACUUUACACCACACCAUUAUGUCUCUCUGAGUGAGCAUUAUUAUCACUAUUAUUAUCAUUUUUAUUAUUAUAAUAUCUUUUAUGAGAAUGUUCAAAACUCUUGAUAAAAAAAAAAGUAGAAGAAUGAGGUCAAGUUUCAUUCUUUCUCUUCACAGCUGAGGCUCAUUGGUGCAAAACCUGCUAGAAAUUAUGAAAAUUAAUCUGCUGAAUUUUGUUUGUUUUCUUAAAUCGGGUUCAACUAUUUGUUCAAACGAUGUAAUAUGUUUUUUUUUUUAAAGACACAGUAUGUAAUCCGUGCCGCCAGGAGUCUCUAAAGUCAAAACAAUAACAAAAGUUUGAUGACAUCAGGAAACAGCGAGGCAUCAUGGGAAAUUUUGUUUUACUAAUCAUGAGUGACAAACAUCUGCAGGGUUCCCAAAGGUCCUUGAAAGUUUGAAAUUCAGAACCCUUGAAAGUUUUUGAAAAUGGCCCUAAAUAGACAUGGGUCAUUGAAAGUGCUUGAAUUGUGUGCAAGAAAGAAGUAAAGUAGAUAGAAAUUUAGGUAAAUCUCUCCCGUUACUGAUGUGCCCUUCAAGGUUUCUGUGGGUCCUUGAAAUCCUUGAAAGUGUGUGCAUUUUAAAAAAUAAAUUUCAAGAACCUUGAAAGUGUUCUAAAUAGUUGUACUAAGUAGUCAUGGGUCAUUGAAAGUGCUUGAAUUUGUUGCAAGAAAAGAACUUCAGUUGAUGUUUAGGUAAAUGUCUCCUUUGGCUUUAAAUUACUUAUAUAAUUAGCUAUUGUCAUAAAAAAGUCUUUAAUGUCUUUAAAAAGUGUGUCCUCUUAUAGAAAAUUUGGGAAACAUUGAUUUUAUCAUGAGAAAUAAGGUGUCUUAAAAACACAAAGUGCAUUUUGUGUUGUUUAUAAUGUAUAACCAAAGAUAAAUUCACAUCAUAAUACAACAAUUGCAUCGCGGCCUGUGUCUGUACGUGCAAGCGUCGUAGGGGGCAACUGCUGUUUGAUGGCGCUGGACAUGGCUGUGAGCGGAUGAGGAGCAGACACACACACACAAACAUAAAUACACACCACACGCACUUGAAAGAGAGAGUUGGAUAAAAGGCGAGACUGCGGCAGGAAACACAUGGCAUUCUACUGUACGAGGGCAGGUGGACACAAACAGGCGAGACGGGGGUCAGGGGUGGUGCUGCUGCUGCUCUGCACAAGACAAAAGGCGGCAGUGGUGGUGGUGGUGGUGGAGGGUUCAGUGGACGGUUUUGGUCCGUCUUAGUUUGUCCAGCUGGAAGACAAGGAGACCCAGACAGAUUCCUGAUGUCACCCGCAGGACCCCGCCCUCCCCAGCUCUGCUACUUCCUGUCCCUGCAGCGGUGACGUCACAGCCUGCAGACCAGCUGGGGAUGUCACGUCCACCCCGCAGCCCCCUCUGUCCCCUCGCUCAACUCAGCUUCAACCACUGGUGUCCAGCUGUGACCGCGGACAGCCAAUGAGGCACGUACCAAAGACGACGACAGAAAACACCAAAUAUUAGUCCAAUAAAGUCUGUUUUACCAAAUUAAACUCGCCUCAUUCGAUGUUUCCUUCUCUUUAUCUUAGUAUCUUAGCAGUAUCUGGAUCUCGGGCUUCAGCUGACCGACACAUUUCCACUGAUGUCUCAUGCAUUUCUUAUCCAAACAUCG